rfam:Oryza nivara chromosome 8, whole genome shotgun sequence.
AAAAAGGCAAACUCUGGGUUUCAGUGUCCAACUUUUACUGUCCGUCUUAUAUGAAAUUUUUUUAUAAUUUGUAUUUUCAUUGUUGUUAGAUGAUAAAACAUGAUUAAUAUUUUAUGCGUGACUUGUCUUUUUAAUUUUUUUUCAUAAUUUUUUUUAAAUAAGACGGACGGUUAAAUGUUGGACACGGAAACCAGGGUUUGUCUUUUU